rnacentral:misc_RNA from 1 species
GAUGAAGAAGUAGUGAAAUGCGAUAAGUAAUGUGAAUUGCAGAAUUCAGUGAAUCAUCGAAUCUUUGAACGCACAUUGCGCCCCCUGGUAUUCCGGGGGGCAUGCCUGUCCGAGCGUCAUUACAACCCUCAAGCUCAGCUUGGUGUUGGGCCCCGCCGCCCCGGCGGGCCCUAAAGUCAGUGGCGGUGCCGUCCGGCUCCGAGCGUAGUAAUUCUUCUCGCUCUGGAGGUCCGGUCGUGUGCUCGCCAGCAACCCCCAAUUUUUUUCAGGUUGACCUCGGAUCAGGUAGGGAUACCCGCUGAACUUAAGCAUAUCAAUAAGCGGAGGA